rnacentral:rRNA from 1 species
CAGAGUAAAGCUGAUCUGCUCUGGGUAAGUCGGGGCCUAAGCACAGGUCGCAAGACGUAAGCGAUGGAUAACAGGUUUAGAUUCCUGUACCACGCAUUAUCAGAACUGUAGGGACGCAUGUGGAAAGCACGAGCCGGGAAUGGAAAGACUGGUACAAGCGAGGUAGGUGUACGAUAGGCAAAUCCGUCGUAUAAUCCGAAGACGUGAUGUGGAGCGAAAUAAAGUAGUGAAGCGUGUGAGCCAUGUGCCGAGAAAAGCUGCUAUUGUGUAAUGCGUGCCCGUACCGUAAACCGACACAGGUGGAUGAGGAGAGAAUCCUAAGGCCGGCGGAAGAAGCAUUGUUAAGGAAUUCGGCAAAAUGACCCCGUAACUUCGGGAGAAGGGGUGCCUGCGAGAGCAGGCCGCAGAGAAUAGGCUCAAGCAACUGUUUAGCAAAAACACAGGUCUAUGCGAAACCGAAAGGUGAAGUAUAUGGGCUGACGCCUGCCCGGUGCUGGAAGGUUAAGAGGAGAGGUUAGCGUAAGCGAAGCUUUGAAUUUAAGCCCCAGUAAACGGCGGCCGUAACAAUAACGGUCCUAAGGUAGCGAAAUUCCUUGUCGGGUAAGUUCCGACCCGCACGAAAGGCGUAAUGAUUUGAGCACUGUCUCGACAAUGCAUCCGGUGAAAUUGAAGUACCAGUGAAGAUGCUGGUUACCCGCGCCAGGACGGAAAGACCCCAUGGAGCUUUACUCCAGUUUGAUACUGGGAUUCGGUACUGCAUGUACAGGAUAGGUGGGAGACGAAGAAGGAUGGACGCCAGUCUGUCCGGAGUCGCUGUUGGGAUACCACCCCUGUAGUACUGGGUUUCUAACCAGUUGCCAUGAACUGGCAAUGGGACAAUGUCAGGCGGGGAGUUUGACUGGGGCGGUCGCCUCCGAAAGGGUAUCGGAGGCGCUCAAAGGUUCCCUCAGAAUGGUUGGAAACCAUUUGAAGAGUGCAAAGGCAGAAGGGAGCUUGACUGCGACACCGACGGGUGGAGCAGGUACGAAAGUAGGACUUAGUGAUCCGGUGGUAUAAAGUGGGAUUGCCAUCGCUCAACGGAUAAAAGCUACCCUGGGAUAACAGGCUUAUCACUCCCAAGAGUUCACAUCGACGGAGUGGUUUGGCACCUCGAUGUCGGCUCAUCGCAUCCUGGGGCUGUAGCGGGUCCCAAGGGUUGGGCUGUUCGCCCAUUAAAGCGGUACGCGAGCUGGGUUCAGAACGUCGUGAGACAGUUCGGUCCCUAUCCGGCGCGGGCGGAGGAUAUUUGAGAGGAGCUGUCCUUAGUACGAGAGGACCGGGAUGGACGGACCACUGGUGUAUCUGUUGUCGACCAACGGCAUGGCAGAGUAGCCAAGUCUGGAAGGGAUAAACGCUGAAGGCAUCUAAGCGUGAAGCCCCCCUCAAGAUGAGAUAUCCCUCCAUAUGGAGUAAGACCCCUUGAAGACUACAAGGUAGAUAGGGCAGAGGUGGAAGCAUGGCAACAUGUGGAGCUGACUGUUACUAAUAGGUCGAGGGCUC